rnacentral:piRNA from 1 species
UUGGUGUGAGUCAAAAGGCAGAAGCGGCUC